AUGCCACCGAAUAACCUGUCGUUGUUGUUCACAUUUUUAUGUCUUAAUAUAUCACUUAGAGUCCUAUCUAGCGCCUCAAAACAUAUCUUGUUUGCCAUUGGAGCUUCAUCCCAUAGUAUUAGCGACGUCUUUUUUACUAGUUCUAUCAAGUAUGAACCCUGUUUGAUGUCACAUGUUGACUCUUCUGUAAGGAUUAGUGGAAUGUGGAACCUCGAGUGCGUUGUUCUCCCUCCUUCUAGAAGUACUGCUGCAAUACCAGAUGAUGCCACUGCUAGUACUGUCUUCCCUUCAGAACGCAACUUUGUUGUGAUCGCCUUCCAUAGGUAUGUCUUACCAGUCCCACUAUAUCCGUCCACAAAAAUUUGCUUUCCCAAAUCUUUACCAACAGAUUCCAUUAUUGAGUCAAAUGCAAGACGUUGUUCAUAG
rnacentral:rRNA from 1 species